rnacentral:rRNA from 1 species
ACUCCUACGGGAGGCAGCAGUAGGGAAUAUUGGGCAAUGGGCGAAAGCCUGACCCAGCGACGCCGCGUGAGGGAUGAAGGUCUUCGGAUUGUAAACCUCUUUCAGUAGGGAAGAAGCGAAAGUGACGGUACCUAAAGAAGAAGCACCGGCUAACUACGUGCCAGCAGCCGCGGUAAUAC